GGUAUAGCUCAGUGGUAUAGAGCACAUGCAUUGCAUUUAUGUGGCCCUGGGUUUGAUUCCCAGCACC
rnacentral:tRNA from 1 species